rnacentral:rRNA from 1 species
GAUGAACGCUGGCGGCGUGCCUAAUACAUGCAAGUCGAGCGAACAGACGAGGAGCUUGCUCCUCUGACGUUAGCGGCGGACGGGUGAGUAACACGUGGAUAACCUACCUAUAAGACUGGGAUAACUUCGGGAAACCGGAGCUAAUACCGGAUAAUAUAUUGAACCGCAUGGUUCAAUAGUGAAAGACGGUUUUGCUGUCACUUAUAGAUGGAUCCGCGCCGCAUUAGCUAGUUGGUAAGGUAACGGCUUACCAAGGCAACGAUGCGUAGCCGACCUGAGAGGGUGAUCGGCCACACUGGAACUGAGACACGGUCCAGACUCCUACGGGAGGCAGCAGUAGGGAAUCUUCCGCAAUGGGCGAAAGCCUGACGGAGCAACGCCGCGUGAGUGAUGAAGGUCUUCGGAUCGUAAAAUGCUGUUAUUAGGGAAGAACAAAUGUGUAAGUAACUAUGCACGUCUUGACGGUACCUAAGCAGAAAGCCACGGCUAACUACGG